GCACUCUUUCAGUACGUUAGCGGAAGGCAGUUCCUUUUCUCCUCCCUUCUCUCCCAUGAAAACCGAAGGAGGAGACCAGAUCCCACAAUCCACCGCCGGCCAGCCUGUGGGUUCUUCGCUCCUCCGUCUGCUGUUCUGGCAGCGGACGGAGUGGAGGACCCCGGGGCUAGGCUACGGCAUGUAGAUAGGUUAGGGCCUAGUUUGUGCAGCGGCGGCGUUUUAAUAUUGGAGGCAGCGCCGUCCUUCCAGCAAAUAAGGUGUCCACGGCUCUCUCCAUCCAGACAAGGCUGCUUGCGGCGGAGUCGAGGAGUCGGCGUCAUGUGUCUCUUGCAGGUCGCUCGGACCGGCGAGGUUAGGUUUUUCGGAUGUGGUAGCAGCGACGGCGACCCAAUCUUGGAAUUGUGUUCUCCGGCUUCGUUGUCUCGAUGGUGUGCGUUCCAGCGCCGUCUUGGAGUCUGGGAGAUUUAUUUAGGAUGCAGUGGGUCAGCGUGUGUCCUCUCUUCAGGGCACGUCGGUGACGGCCUGAGCAGGGCUGGUUCGGUGCAUGUCAAGUGGAUGGCGAUGGGCAAUUCCAGUGCUCUUCUGCGACUUGCUCAGAUGAAGACGAUGGAUCUGGAGUCCGACGGGCACCGGGACGCUCCCCGGCCGACGAGCCACAUUGGAGAAGGUUCUGCCGUUCGCGGCGGGCGAGUUCAUCGGCUCACAAAGCGGCUUUCUCCACGAUGGUGCUACUUCGGACCAAGGUAUGAAGGUUUGUUGUCUCUCUUAUCUCCGGCGGCGCUGCCGCGAUGGUGGAGACCGGCGGCAGUUGGGAAUCUGCACAAGUACCUCCAAGGUUGUGGUUGUAAUUUAUCUCAUCUCAGAGUGUUUUGUGCAAAUGUAUCAGGGCAUCUGUCCUCACUUUGUCUAGUUAGGGACUGCUUGUGUUGUAAAUUUGACAAAUAUUAAACACGUGGUUAUCAUUUCCA
rnacentral:rRNA from 1 species